CUCCUUUGUAGUUCACGAGAGUGACAAUUGGAUGUUCACGAGCAUGUAUGAGACUGUGCCACCCUCUAGCCUUGUUACCACGAUUGUGCACAUCACUCAUCUGACA